rnacentral:rRNA from 1 species
CAGGUACAGAGGGAUGCUACCGGGCGACCGGAUGCGGAUCUCGAAAGCCUGUCCCAGUUCGGACUGGAGUCUGCAACCCGACUCCACGAAGUUGGAUUCGCUAGUAAUCGCGCAUCAGCCAUGGCGCGGUGAAUACGUUCCCGGGCCUUGUACACACCGCCCGUCAAGCCAUGGGAGCCGGGGGCGCCUGAAGUCCGGGACCGCGAGGACCGGCCUAGGGCGAAACUGGUAACUGGGGCUAAGUCGUAACAAGGUAAC